rnacentral:lncRNA from 1 species
AAGUGCCACAAUCGAUGCAAGUCUUGCUGAUCCUAUGCUGUAGCCACCGUAUCGGAAUCUCUGAUCACCAUUGAACCUUCCAGUCUAUAAAGGUUAUUCUCUAUCCUUCUUUCCCUCAUGGGAGAUAUUUAGUACUCCACCCUUGGUAUGACUUCUAAAGCUGCAACUGUUCCACUCCAAAUAGCCAAGUAACACCAAGUUCUUCUUCAAUUUCAGGACGUGCUUCAUAUUAGUGAGGGCUACACCAUCCCAUC